UACGUAGGUGGCAAGCGUUGUCCGGAUUUACUGGGCGUAAAGAGCGCCCAGGCGGUCGGCCAAGUCGAGUGUGAAAGCCCCCGGCUCAACUGGGGAGGGUCAUUCGAUACUGGUCGACUCGAAGGCAGGAGAGGGAAGCGGAAUUCCCGGUGUAGUGGUGAAAUGCGUAGAUAUCGGGAGGAACACCAGUGGCGAAGGCGGCUUCCUGGCCUGUUCUUGACGCUGAGGCGCGAAAGCUAGGGGAGCAAACGGG
rnacentral:rRNA from 1 species